AGCAGUAGCCACGGGAAUACAGAGGGUGCGAGCGUUAAUCGGAUUUACUGGGCGUAAAGCGUGCGUAGGCGGUGAGUUAAGUCUGCUGUGAAAUCCCCGGGCUCAACCUGGGAAUGGCAGUGGAUACUGGCUCGCUAGAGUGUGUCAGAGGAUGGUGGAAUUCCCGGUGUAGCGGUGAAAUGCGUAGAGAUCGGGAGGAACAUCAGUGGCGAAGGCGGCCAUCUGGGACAACACUGACGCUGAGGCACGAAAGCGUGGGGAGCAAACAGGAUUAGAUACCCCUGUAGUCCCUGUCUCUUAUAC
rnacentral:rRNA from 1 species